rnacentral:rRNA from 1 species
UACGAAGGGGGCUAGCGUUGCUCGGAAUCACUGGGCGUAAAGCGCGCGUAGGCGGAUUGUUAAGUCAGGGGUGAAAUCCUGGAGCUCAACUCCAGAACUGCCUUUGAUACUGGCGAUCUCGAGUCCGGGAGAGGUGAGUGGAAUUCCUAGUGUAGAGGUGAAAUUCGUAGAUAUUAGGAAGAACACCAGUGGCGAAGGCGGCUCACUGGCCCGGUACUGACGCUCAUGUGCGAAAGCGUGGGGAGCAAACAGG